UACGUAGGUGGCAAGCGUUGUCCGGAUUUACUGGGCGUAAAGAGCGCGCAGGCGGUCGUUCAAGUCGAGUGUGAAAGCCCCCGGCUCAACUGGGGAGGGUCACUCGAUACUGAUCGACUCGAAGGCAGAAGAGGGAAGCGGAAUUCCCGGUGUAGUGGUGCAAUGCGUAGAUAUCGGGAGGAACACCAGUGGCGAAGGCGGCUUUCUGGUCUGCUCUUGACGCUGAGGCGCGAAAGCUAGGGUAGCAAACGGG
rnacentral:rRNA from 1 species